rnacentral:rRNA from 1 species
CAGUAGCCACGGGAAUACGAAGGGUGCAAGCGUUACUCGGAAUUACUGGGCGUAAAGCGUGCGUAGGUGGUGGUUUAAGUCCGUUGUGGAAGCCCUGGGCUCAACCUGGGAAUUGCAGUGGAUACUGGGUCACUAGAGUGUGGUAGAGGAUAGUGGAAUUUCCGGUGUAGCAGUGAAAUGCGUAGAGAUCGGAAGGAACAUCUGUGGCGAAGGUGACUAUCUGGGCCAACACUGACACUGAGGCACGAAAGCGUGGGGAGCAAACAGGAUUAGAUACCCCUGUAGUCCCUGUCUCUUAUAC